rnacentral:rRNA from 1 species
AACGAACGCUGGCGGCAUGCCUAACACAUGCAAGUCGAACGAGACCUUCGGGUCUAGUGGCGCACGGGUGCGUAACGCGUGGGAACCUGCCCUUAGGUUCGGAAUAACUCCCCGAAAGGGGUGCUAAUACCGGAUAAUGUCUUCGGACCAAGGAUUUAUCGCCUUUGGAUGGGCCCGCGUUGGAUUAGCUAGUUGGUAGGGUAAAAGCCUACCAAGACGACGAUCCAUAGCUGGUCUGAGAGGAUGAUCAGCCACACUGGGACUGAGACACGGCCCAGACGGGAGGGAGGAGCAGGGGAGGGGGCUAAUGGGGAGUAAGCCUGAGGCAGAUACGCCGCUGGCGCGUGGAUGGUCAUGGCGUUGGAAGUGUAAAUCAGCAUGGACGAAGAUGGUAGUGACAGGACCGGUAGAAGAAGCAACGGCUAACUCCGUG